UCCCAGCAGUCCAAGUCGCAGCCACAAUUGUUGGGUCUAAAACAUCCGUAGCUUGUCUUGUAAGUCUUUUGUGAAAUCGGGCUUCUCAAGAGUCCGGCGUGCAAAAGAUACUGCGAGACUUAGGAUCGGGAGGCGCAAGAAGUACGUUUGGAGUAGUGGUUAAAUACGUUGAUCCUAAACGGACUAACAGUCGCGAAGGCGUCUUGCGAGAACGAAUCUGACAGUGAGGGAUGAAGGCUAGGGGC
rnacentral:rRNA from 1 species